rnacentral:rRNA from 1 species
UACGUAGGAUCCUAGCGUUGUCCGGAUUUACUGGGUGUAAAGGGUGCGCAGGCGGGCUUAUAAGUCAGUGGUGAAAUCUCGGCGCUUAACGUCGAAACUGCCUUUGAUACUAUAAGUCUUGAGUUUGGUAGAGAUCCGUGGAAUUCCGAGUGUAGCAGUGAAAUGUGUAGAUAUUCGGAAGAACACCAGCGGCGAAGGCAGCGGAUUGGGCCAAUACUGACGCUCAGGCACGAAAGCAUGGGGAUCAAACAGG